rnacentral:rRNA from 1 species
GCUACACAUGCAGUCGAGCGGUAGCACAGAGAGCUUGCUCUCGGGUGACGAGCGGCGGACGGGUGAGUAAUGUCUGGGAAACUGCCUGAUGGAGGGGGAUAACUACUGGAAACGGUAGCUAAUACCGCAUAACGUCGCAAGACCAAAGUGGGGGACCUUCGGGCCUCAUGCCAUCAGAUGUGCCCAGAUGGGAUUAGCUAGUAGGUGGGGUAACGGCUCACCUAGGCGACGAUCCCUAGCUGGUCUGAGAGGAUGACCAGCCACACUGGAACUGAGACACGGUCCAGACUCCUACGGGAGGCAGCAGUGGGGAAUAUUGCACAAUGGGCGCAAGCCUGAUGCAGCCAUGCCGCGUGUGUGAAAAAGGCCUUCGGGUUGUAAAGCACUUUCAGCGGGGAGGAAGGCGGUGAGGUUAAUAACCUCACCGAUUGACGUUACCCGCAAAAGAAGCACCGGCUAACUCCGUGCCAGCAGCCGCGGUAAUACGGAGGGUGCAAGCGUUAAUCGGAAUGACUGGGCGUAAAGCGCACGCAGGCGGUCUGUCAAGUCGGAUGUGAAAUCCCCGGGCUCAACCUGGGAACUGCAUUCGAAACUGGCAGGCUAGAGUCUUGUAGAGGGGGGUAGAAUUCCAGGUGUAGCGGUGAAAUGCGUAGAGAUCUGGAGGAAUACCGGUGGCGAAGGCGGCCCCCUGGACAAAGACUGACGCUCAGGUGCGAAAGCGUGGGGAGCAAACAGGAUUAGAUACCCUGGUAGUCCACGCUGUAAACGAUGUCGAUUUGGAGGUUGUGCCCUUGAGGCGUGGCUUCCGGAGCUAACGCGUUAAAUCGACCGCCUGGGGAGUACGGCCGCAAGGUUAAAACUCAAAUGAAUUGACGGGGGCCCGCACAAGCGGUGGAGCAUGUGGUUUAAUUCGAUGCAACGCGAAGAACCUUACCUGGUCUUGACAUCCACAGAACUUUCCAGAGAUGGAUUGGUGCCUUCGGGAACUGUGAGACAGGUGCUGCAUGGCUGUCGUCAGCUCGUGUUGUGAAAUGUUGGGUUAAGUCCCGCAACGAGCGCAACCCUUAUCCUUUGUUGCCAGCGGUCCGGCCGGGAACUCAAAGGAGACUGCCAGUGAUAAACUGGAGGAAGGUGGGGAUGACGUCAAGUCAUCAUGGCCCUUACGACCAGGGCUACACACGUGCUACAAUGGCAUAUACAAAGAGAAGCGACCUCGCGAGAGCAAGCGGACCUCAUAAAGUAUGUCGUAGUCCGGAUUGGAGUCUGCAACUCGACUCCAUGAAGUCGGAAUCGCUAGUAAUCGUAGAUCAGAAUGCUACGGUGAAUACGUUCCCGGGCCUUGUACACACCGCCCGUCACACCAUGGGAGUGGGUUGCAAAAGAAGUAGGUAGCUUAACCUUCGGGAGGGCGCU